rnacentral:rRNA from 1 species
UACGUAGGGGGCAAGCGUUGUCCGGAUUUAUUGGGCGUAAAGAGCUCGUAGGCGGUCUGUCGCGUCGAUCGUGAAAACUUGGGGCUCAACCCCGGACUUGCAGUGGGUACGGGCAGACUAGAGUGUGGUAGGGGAGAUUGGAAUUCCUGGUGUAGCGGUGAAAUGCGUAGAUAUCUGGAGGAACACCGGUGGCGAAGGCGGCAUCCUGGACCAACACUGACGCUGAGGAGCGAAAGCCAGGGGAGCAAAGCGGGAU